UACGUAGGGCGCAAGCGUUGUCCGGAUUUAUUGGGUUUAAAGGGUGCGUAGGCGGCCUAUUAAGUCAGGGGUGAAAGACGGUAGCUUAACUAUCGCAGUGCCUUUGAUACUGAUGGGCUUGAAUACACUAGAGGUAGGCGGAAUGUGACAAGUAGCGGUGAAAUGCAUAGAUAUGUCACAGAACACCAAUUGCGAAGGCAGCUUACUAUGGUGCAAUUGACGCUGAGGCACGAAAGCGUGGGGAUCAAACAGG
rnacentral:rRNA from 1 species